CUACGGGGGCUGCAGUGAGGAAUAUUGCACAAUGGGGGAAACCCUAAUGCAGCAACGCCGCGUGGAGGAUGACGCAUUUCGGUGUGUAAACUCCUUUUAUGAGUCAAGAAAAUGACGGUAGCUCAUGAAUAAGCACCGGCUAACUCCGUGCCAGCAGCCGCGGUAAUACGGAGGGUGCAAGCGUUACUCGGAAUCACUGGGCGUAAAGGACGCGUAGGCGGGCUUGUAAGUCAGGUGUGAAAUCCUACAGCUUAACUGUAGAACUGCACUUGAAACUACGAGCCUAGAGUAUGGGAGGGGCAGAUGGAAUUAGUGGUGUAGGGGUAAAAUCCGUAGAUAUCACUAGGAAUACCGAAAGCGAAGGCGAUCUGCUGGAACAUUACUGACGCUAAGGCGUGAAAGCGUGGGGAGCAAACGGGAUUAGAUACCCGCGUAGUC
rnacentral:rRNA from 1 species